rfam:Oryza sativa Japonica Group DNA, chromosome 8, cultivar: Nipponbare, complete sequence.
AAAUACUGUAGUUUUGCAUUGUUUAUGUCUAACGUGACUCUCCGUAUUAUUUGAAAUUUUUUAAUAUUAGUAUUUUUGUUGUUAUUAGAUGAUAAAACAUAAAUAGUACUUUAUGUGUGAUUAUUUUUUUUCAAAUAAGACGGCCAGUCCAACGUUGUACACGGAAACCCACAACUAGAAUUAAA